rnacentral:lncRNA from 1 species
AUGAUGACACAAAGUAGCUUGCAAACUAACCCUUACAUUGAGCAGUGCCAUUGCAGGAUUAUUUCUGAUGACUCCUCAGAUCAGAUAAUCCAGAGCAUGUGGAUAAAAGGGGACGCAGGACUCCGAACUAAACCCAGAGAGCCACGCUUGGAAAAAUGCAAAAUAACGGAUGAGAUUUUCUGCGUCCCCGGGAGCCUCGAUGCCACACCCAGGGGCAGUGUCUGUGGGCAGGCUCUCAAAGGCCCCUCCAACCAAGUCCUGCUUCUGUACCUCUAGCUUGGACUCAGAAGUGCUGCUGGAUGGGCAGGGGGAACAGCAGCCAGGCUGUACCAAGGAUCUUGCUGCGCUCUGUGAAACAUGCGGCGCUCCCCCAGGGAAAAUGUUUAAGGCAAGUAACGAGGUGGCAAACUUUCUUUCUUGCUGAGAAAGUUAUUUGGAGUUGGAUCUUAUUUUACUGUACCAUCUCUCACUUCCCAUGGAAGUAAGUGCAUUAAUUUGCCUGACAGAGGUAUUAAACUGAAACAGCUGAAUACCAGUCAAAGGCAGCACUGUUUGAUUGGGAAGUGCCAGAGAAAGAGGAGUUUGCAGGAGUCUGGGGUAUUGUUCAGAGCCUUGUGAUCUCAGCAUCACAGCUUCACAGUUUCAGGUCUGGGGUAAUGAUCUGAAAAUACAAGUCUUCAUGGUGACUGGAAGGUGGAGAGGCACAACCUAUAGGCACAACAGUUAGGGCUCACCUUUUGAUGAAGAGCAAGAUCAGUCUGAGUUGCAGCUGGCCAUUUCACCUUUAGCUCCAUUUUCCUUUGAGUGGGUCUCAUGGACUACUUGUGUCCAUGUGCAGGGGAAACAGGCAGGUUUGGCUUGCCAUUAAGAGUUUCAGAAAGAUUCUCUAAGACCAAGGGAAGUAAAAAAUGUGAGCAAAAGUUCUGCAAGUUCUCAAAGGAAAACGUCACAUGCAAGGAGAUUUCAGGCAAAUCCUGCAGACCCUGACUCAUAAUUGUGCUGGAGCGGGGACCUACAGAUGAGACCCCAUGCUGAAAAAGAGCUGAUGAGGGAUGACACUAGGGACAGUGUGGGGUAGUGGAGAAAGCUGUAAGUGAAUGGUGUCACUUAAAUUCCAAAAUUCCCUGUGUGGUGCUGCUCGGAGUCUUCCCAGACUACUUGUGGUUCCUGCUGAGCUCAACCAGAGUGUGGGUGCUUAGGCUGUCUUCCAAUA